rnacentral:rRNA from 1 species
AGUGAACGCUGGCGGUAGGCCUAACACAUGCAAGUCGAACGGCAGCACAGUAAGAGCUUGCUCUUACGGGUGGCGAGUGGCGGACGGGUGAGGAAUACAUCGGAAUCUACUUUUUCGUGGGGGAUAACGUAGGGAAACUUACGCUAAUACCGCAUACGACCUACGGGUGAAAGCAGGGGAUCUUCGGACCCUGCGCGAUUGAAUGAGCCGAUGUCGGAUUAGCUAGUUGGCGGGGUAAAGGCCCACCAAGGCGACGAUCCGUAGCUGGUCUGAGAGGAUGAUCAGCCACACUGGAACUGAGACACGGUCCAGACUCCUACGGGAGGCAGCAGUGGGGAAUAUUAGACAAUGGGCGCAAGCCUGAUCCAGCCAUACCGCGUGUGUGAAGAAGGCCUUCGGGUUGUAAAGCCCUUUUGUUGGGAAAGAAAAGCAGCAGGUUAAUACCCCGCUGUUCUGACGGUACCCAAAGAAUAAGCACCGGCUAACUUCGUG